rnacentral:rRNA from 1 species
UUAUGAAUAAGGAUCGGCUAACUCCGUGCCAGCAGCCGCGGUAAUACGGAGGAUCCGAGCGUUAUCCGGAUUUAUUGGGUUUAAAGGGAGCGUAGAUGGAUGUUUAAGUCAGUUGUGAAAGUUUGCGGCUCAACCGUAAAAUUGCAGUUGAUACUGGAUAUCUUGAGUGCAGUUGAGGCAGGCGGAAUUCGUGGUGUAGCGGUGAAAUGCUUAGAUAUCACGAAGAACUCCGAUUGCGAAGGCAGCCUGCUAAGCUGCAACUGACAUUGAGGCUCGAAAGUGUGGGUAUCAAACAGGAUUAGAUACCCUGGUAGUCCACACGGUAAACGAUGAAUACUCGCUGUAGGCGAUAUACGGUCUGCGGCCAAGCGAAAGCAUUAAGUAUUCCACCUGGGGAGUACGCCGGCAACGGUGAAACUCAAAGGAAUUGACGGGGGCCCGCACAAGCGGAGGAACAUGUGGUUUAAUUCGAUGAUACGCGAGGAACCUUACCCGGGCUUAAAUUGCAGAUGAAUUACGGUGAAAGCCGUAAGCCGCAAGGCAUCUGUGAAGGUGCUGCAUGGUUGUCGUCAGCUCGUGCCGUGAGGUGUCGGCUUAAGUGCCAUAACGAGCGCAACCCUUGCCGAUAGUUACUAACAGGUCAUGCUGAGGACUCUGUCGGGACUGCCAUCGUAAGAUGUGAGGAAGGUGGGGAUGACGUCAAAUCAGCACGGCCCUUACGUCCGGGGCUACACACGUGUUACAAUGGGGGGUACAGAAGGCAGCUACCUGGUGACAGGAUGCUAAUCCCAAAAGCCUCUCUCAGUUCGGAUCGAAGUCUGCAACCCGACUUCGUGAAGCUGGAUUCGCUAGUAAUCGCGCAUCAGCCACGGCGCGGUGAAUACGUUCCCGGGCCUUGUACACACCGCCCGUCAAGCCAUGGGAGCCGGGGGUACCUGAAGUGCGUAACCGCGAGGAGCGCCCUAGGGUAAAACUGGUGACUGGGGCUAAGUCGUAACAAGGUAGCCGUACCGGAAGGUGCGGCUG